rnacentral:rRNA from 1 species
ACGCUAGCGGGAGGCCUAACACAUGCAAGCCGAGCGGUAGAAGAUCUUCGGACCUUUGAGAGCGGCGCACGGGUGCGGAACACGUGUGCAACCUACCUUUAUCAGGGGGAUAGCCUUUCGAAAGGAAGAUUAAUACCCCAUAAUAUAUUGAAUGGCAUCAUUUGAUAUUGAAAACUCCGGUGGAUAGAGAUGGGCACGCGCAAGAUUAGAUAGUUGGUGAGGUAACGGCUCACCAAGUCAAUGAUCUUUAGGGGGCCUGAGAGGGUGAUCCCCCACACUGGUACUGAGACACGGACCAGACUCCUACGGGAGGCAGCAGUGAGGAAUAUUGGACAAUGGGUGAGAGCCUGAUCCAGCCGUCCCGCGUGAAGGACGACGGCCCUAUGGGUUGUAAACUUCUUUUGUAUAGGGAUAAACCUUUCCACGUGUGGAAAGCUGAAGGUACUAUACGAAUAAGCACCGGCUAACUCCGUGCCAGCAGCCGCGGUAAUACGGAGGGUGCAAGCGUUAUCCGGAUUUAUUGGGUUUAAAGGGUCCGUAGGCGGACUCGUAAGUCAGUGGUGAAAUCUCAUAGCUUAACUAUGAAACUGCCAUUGAUACUGCGGGUCUUGAGUAAGGUAGAGGUAGCUGGAAUAAGUAGUGUAGCGGUGAAAUGCAUAGAUAUUACUUAGAACACCAAUUGCGAAGGCAGGUUACCAUGUCUUAACUGACGCUGAUGGACGAAAGCGGGGGGAGCGAAC